GGAUGACAGCAAGCAGGCAUCGGCAGAUGCUCUUAGGCCAGAUUCCACACUGGACGUGGAAGACGUGCAGGAGCAUGGAAUCUGGCCUGAGAGCCUCCGCUGAUGCCUGCUUCCUGUCUUCCACGCCAACUUGAGCGUUUCACUACCCUUCAAUACCCAGGCACGGUGGUGACUGGUUUGCACAUCUGCCUCACAGUUCUGAGAACUGGGGUUCAAAUCCCGUCCUCGCCUGUGUGGAGUUUGCAUGUUCUCCCCAUGCCUGGGUGGGUUUUCUCCGGGCACUCCGGUUUCCUCCCACAUCCCAAAAACAUGCGUGGUACCCAUCACCUCCUCCCACAGACCAAGACUCCUUUAUCAGCUUGACAGCAUCCCUCAGCACCGGUGUCCACCAACAGGUUUGGGGAUUGCUGCCAAGACAAGCACCUGCCACCUUAUGACCACACCUCCAAUUCGGCGCAUAAACAAUGGAAGCAUGAAACAUGACCCACUUUGACUCAACGUCCCCCGCCUCCCUCGGGACAUGGUCAAAAUUCUGUCUGAACAUUGUUUUUAUUGUGGACAACCUGUGACGGGCACAGAUGUAGAAUCACAGAAUGCCACUCGGGUUCUGAUCGGUGGGAACAUUCCUUCCAAUCAUACCUUACCAGGUCUCAUUUUCACUGCCCCUGUAAGCAUUGAAACCCCCCAGCAGAAUGAGGGAGUCCCCAGCUGGAGCGCUAUCCAGUACCCCCCCCCUCCAAGGAAAAAGGCUGGGUAAUCUGAAGUGCUUUUUGGUGCAUAUAGGGACAAACAACAAUCAGGACCCCCCCCCCACUUAAAGCCAGAGGGGAGAUACCCUUUUGUCCACCCUGGUGAACCCCAUGUACAGGCACUGAGCUGGGGGGCAAUAAAGUGGGGGCCCCUGUGACUCCCGUCCGGGCAAGGGAAACUGAGGUCCAUUGAAAGUAAUCAUCAUCAAUAGAGCUCUAUUGAGCCAUUCUUUGUCUGGUCCCUCACUUGGGACCCGUUUGUCUCCGGUGAUCCUGCCUGCAGCAUAGAGCCCCAGACAACCUAGCUCCUUGGAUCAUUGGGACACACAAACCCCUCCACCCAUCAGGUACAAUAACAAUAAGGUAACGGCUCAGAGAGGGAGUUGUAUGUAAAAAACAAAUAUUAAUUAAUUUCCCCCUCUCAUGCUGAUAAAUAAGAUAUAGGCAGGUAUAUGUGCAGUAUAUACAGUAUGCAAAUUAUACAUUGAUAACUUUAAUAUCAUCACCAUCAUCAUCAAUAAUUCUGUGGCUGUGUCACCUAAAACUGUUGUCAUCUGUGAAAGAAGAACGUUUGAUACAGCUCAUGUAUUGGAUCUGAUUAGUUUGACAGAUGUAUAGAACUUAUUCCUCUAGCGUGUUAGUGUGUACUGUACGAACAAAUGAGUGAACAUUAGGUUGGAGCCACUGGAAGAGUACUGCUAUCCAUCUAUUGGAAGUGAUUCUGGAUGAGCAACCACUAAAAUAAAUCCAUCAUUUAUUUAUUUUUUUUUUUUUUAAAGAACCUGUCCUCAGUAUGGUCACGAGUGAGCUGAAGCCUAUCCCAGCUGACUUAGAGCGAAAGGCAAGCUACGCCCUGGACUGGUUGCCAGCCAAUUUCAGAAAAAAAUAAGGUGUACGACGAAUUGUAGAAGGUGAACAAAUACUUCAACAAUUCAAGGGAAAAAAGCAAGGAGAAUAUGCUCUAAGCUAAAGCACAAAAUAAUAAAUCUUUUCCCUCAGGAAACAAAUAUUCCUUUACACCUGACUGCAGAUUUUUGUUAUUUUGCAAUUUUUGACAGGAGAAGUGAGUCAGGCACUGUGACCAAUAACGUUCUGUAUGAGGAGAAGAGAAGUGACUGGGGCUCUUUCUUGACAACCUGAAGAAUGUAUGAAUUUCACAGUGUUAGAGAACAGGCUGACACAGAAAGGCUCUUUCUAUUAACAUCUUCUCUUCCCUCCCUUAGUCUGCUUCUGUCUGCUGCAACUGUUCUCAAAGAAAAAACUCACGGUUCAAAUCUAUUGGAAUAAUUUUUGGUGAUUGAGGUCUCAUGGGAAGAAGAUCCAACCAUGAAAGAAGACUGCCAUGUUGGGUAAUUGCCCAACGGUGCAUUCACAGAGAGUGACUUUCAAUUAUUCACUCAAAUUGAGGGAUUAAAAGACAUUCACUUUAAUUCCUAUGUUGAAAACGACCACACAUCAACUGGCAAAAUAUGUUCAGUGUUUAUUGUAUCCUGGAGAUUAAGCUGAUAGCUGCCUCUUCACUUGUCAGGGUGCCUCUUGCUUUGUCAGAUGUUGUAUGACCUGACCUGAUGUCAUCUCUCUUCCAAGGGAGGUUUAAACUGGAGGAGACACAACAUUGGCUUGCAUGCCUUGUAAAAGAGCCAAUAUGCAUUUAAGCACCUGCUUUUUCUGUCUGUUUACAUAACAAAUUCUGGCAAAGCCAACUUUCACACCAAGCGGGAUUCCCACAAACGUCUACCGCUGUGUAAUUAGUUGCUAAAUCUGAAGGUACAAAUUUGCUAUCACUAAAUACUGUAAAUCCAACCCGGAUAAUAAUAAGUGGAAUAAGGUUUCAUAUGUGCUACCAUACCAUGAAAUCGUUUGGGUAUAUUCCAUUACUCAGUUGUGCACAUUUGUGAGGGUGGAGUCUCUGGAGAGCCACAUCAAUGUGGAGGAGCUGCACGAGCCCGUUGGCCUCCACCCACACCUUUCUCAAAAGCACAUUAUAUCAGGAAGCAACCAUCAGGAGAUUAGCAAGAUGUCCGAAAUUAGGUGACAAACAUUUAGAAACAGUCACCUUUAAACCACACAAACCAGUAUGUGGUUUAUAUGUAAUGGUUGGUUUAGCUUUACCUCAAAUUAAAUUUAAUAACUCAAAAUACUUAACUAAAGACACGCAUGCUGAAUACACCAAUUAUUUGUAGAAAGUUAUUUUUCCACUUGUAUGACAGUUAAGAAUUGUAAAAUCAUACUUAAAAAUACCUGUACGGGUAAUAAAGGUUUUAUGGUGGUGACAGUUUUACCCUGGAUUUGGAUUACAUCUGUUUCCUGCUGGGAAGAUUGUUUCAAAAUCAGUAUAGUGUAAGAUUAUGUUUGACUGUAAAGUUUCAACAUCAGUGCAAAUAAACAUUUCCUGA